GAUGAACGCUGACAGAAUGCUUAACACAUGCAAGUCUACUUGAUCCUUCGGGUGAAGGUGGCGGACGGGUGAGUAACGCGUAAAGAACUUGCCUUACAGACUGGGACAACAUUUGGAAACGAAUGCUAAUACCGGAUAUUAUGAUUGGGUCGCAUGAUCUGAUUAUGAAAGCUAUAUGCGCUGUGCGAGAGCUUUGCGUCCCAUUAGUUAGUUGGUGAGGUAACGGCUCACUAAGACGAUGAUGGGUAGCCGGCCUGAGAGGGUGAACGGCCACAAGGGGACUGAGACACGGCCCUUACUCCUACGGGAGGCAGCAGUGGGGAAUAUUGGACAAUGGACCAAAAGUCUGAUCCAGCAAUUCUGUGUGCACGAUGAAGUUUUUCGGAAUGUAAAGUGCUUUCAGUUGGGAAGAAGUCAGUGACGGUACCAACAGAAGAAGCGACGGCUAAAUACGUGCCAGCCGCCGCCGUAACAC
rnacentral:rRNA from 1 species